rnacentral:tRNA from 1 species
GGUGCCACCACCCACCAGCCACGGCGUUCAAGCAAGGGCCGACUGAAUUGGCUGGCUUCCGUGGUGAGCCAAUC